GAACGCUGGCGGCGUGCUUAACACAUGCAAGUCGAACGCGAAAGUUUCCUUCGGGAAGCGAGUAGAGUGGCGCACGGGUGAGUAACACGUGGAUAAUCUGCCCGACGAUUCGGGAUAACAUUCCGAAAGGAGUGCUAAUACCGGAUAAGCCCACAGGCUCUUCGGAGUUUGCGGGAAAAGGUGGGGACCUUCGGGCCUACCGUCGUCGGAUGAGUCCGCGUCCCAUUAGCUAGUUGGCGGGGUAAUGGCCCACCAAGGCGACGAUGGGUAGCUGGUCUGAGAGGAUGAUCAGCCACACUGGAACUGAGACACGGUCCAGACUCCUACGGGAGGCAGCAGUGGGGAAUUUUGCGCAAUGGGGGAAACCCUGACGCAGCAACGCCGCGUGAGUGAUGAAGGCUUUCGGGUCGUAAAGCUCUGUCAGAGGGGAAGAAACUCUUGUGGUCGAACAGGCCGCAGGAUUGACGGUACCCUCAAAGGAAGCACCGGCUAACUCCGUGCCAGCAGCCGCGGUAAUACGGAGGGUGCGAGCGUUGUUCGGAAUUAUUGGGCGUAAAGCGCGUGCAGGCGGCCUGUUGAGUCUGAUGUG
rnacentral:rRNA from 1 species